rnacentral:lncRNA from 1 species
UCUGGCUCUCAGCCCUCUUAUAGGGCCAGCUGUGGCCUGAUUGGGGCGUGGCCCCACCUGUGGCUGAUUCCCCCAAUCAGCCUGGCUUUUCCCUGCUGCAGCUUCUCCAGGGCUGAUUUAACCCCCUCGGGGCAGGGGUGAGGUGACUACCACACUAGUCAUUUAUAGCACAAACUCUCUAUGGCCUGAGCAGUGCAGGAUAAUGUAAUCUCUGUCAGUGGGUUUGCAUUGUUUCCUUUUCUUGUCCUUUACUUUGUCAGAAGAUAUUCAUUGGGGGGUCAUAAAUGUUUCUGAGUUUGUAAAAGCUUGUGUGUGGCAUGGAGUCAGGGAUAGGUGAACAAAACCAUUUUCCUUUCAGCUCUAGUUAUUUCACACAUGUGUGUGUGAAUAGUGUUGCAGUCAAUGGGAUGGAAGUGCCAGGAAUAUCAGGUUUAUCUCCUCCUUUUACUGAGGCUACAAGGAUUACAGCAGUUCAGUUAAGUGGAACAAGAUGAAGAUGCUGCCUGUUUCGUCUGUACCUUGAUCUUCCUCAACCAUGCAAAAUCUCAAAUUACAGCUACAUCCACUGAAAACUGCUGGUGAUAUCCGGUAUUUUUCCUUGUCCAGUUUUACCAGGACUGGGUCUCCUGCUGUUCUUCUCGUGAAAGUUUUGGUCUGUGUUCUGACAGCUAAGUAGCCUGGAGACUUAGAGCAGACAUAUAAGAGGACCACUUCAGAUGAGAUUUACCUUUAUGGCUGGCGGCAUUAUUUGAUCUGUCAACUCCUAAGCAGCUGAACUAAACUUACUCUGGUGACCAGUGUGCCCAGAAUAUUCCUAACUCUUAAAAUUGCUCAUUUGACCUAUGCUGUCUCUGUUGCUGACUACCAUUAUUUCCUGUCUCCUGCAUUAAAGAAACUCAUGGGUGCUGAAUAAGAGGUGCUUAAACACAGUGAUUAAGGUGGAUAUUUUCAAUUCUACUUGGAGUUUUCACAGUGCGAUUUUCAGUAGUGUAAAGAGCUGUAUGCGGAAAGGUCUAUAAAUAAUGUUGAUAUUCAUAUAUUUUAAGUUCAGGAAGAACCAUUAGAUCAUCUAAUCUGACCUCCUGCAUCAUAGGUCAUUCUCUUUCACUGAGUUACCCCUGUAUUGAUCCCAAUAACUUUGACUAAAGCAUACCUGCCAGAAAGCAUCCAGACUUGAUCUGAAGAAAUCAAGAGAGAGAGAGAAUUCAUCUCUUCCCUUGCUAGUUUGUUCUAAUGGUUUAUCACCCUCAUUAUUAAAAAUGUGUGCCUUAUUUUGAAUUUGUCUGGCUUCAGCUUCCAGCCACUGGUUCCUAUUAUGCCUUUCUCUGCUACAUUAAAAGCCCCUGUUAAUGCAUGGUAUUUUCUCCCCAUUAAGGUACUUAGACACUGUAAUCAAGUGAUCUCUCAAACUUCUUUUUGAUAAGCUAAACAAUUUUAAAUAUCCCACUGUAAGGCAUUUACUCUAGUAAUUGAAUCAUUUUUGUGGUUUUUCUG